AUGGCUAAAAUCGGGGCUUGCAUAUUGAUUGAAGCCUGGCUUCAAUCUCCACUGCAGACUCUCUCUCUCUAAUACACUUCCCUCUUGCUUGCUAGAAAUGUGCUGAAUCUCCACAGAGUCUCAGAAGAAGAAAUGUAAUGUCUUAAAUGAGAAUGCUUACAAAUGCCUUGCUGGUCUGACAGUGUGGCAUUAUUUAAUAUGAAUUCAAUGUAGUAUUAAAAAAUACUAUGUUUCAGCACCUGCAGUCUGGAAUAGUGAUUGACAACCAGCAUGGGGCAGGGCAGAGGAGGCAAUCCAGAAGGAAGAACCACAUAACCAAGUGUGAUGGCAGUGCUGGAGAAUAUUUCUAGGACUCGGGAUGAAUGACAGUUCACCAGGAAAUGCUGUACACAGGAAUGUCAUAAGACAACUGCACACAUACAAAGAAAUAAUGGAAUAGAUGACUUCCAUAUUUUGCAGCUAAAACCAAUCACAAAAAUCUCUGCCCUAAAA